rnacentral:rRNA from 1 species
UACGGAAGGCAGCAGUGGGGAAUAUUGCACAAUGGGCGCAAGCCUGAUGCAGCCAUGCCGCGUGUAUGAAAAGGCCUUCGGGUUGUAAAGUACUUUCAGUCGUGAGGAAGGUGUUAAGGUUAAUAACCUUAGCAAUUGACGUUAGCGACAGAAGAAGCACCGGCUAACUCCGUGCCAGCAGCCGCGGUAAUACGGAGGGUGCGAGCGUUAAUCGGAAUUACUGGGCGUAAAGGGCACGCAGGCGGUUAAUUAAGUUGGAUGUGAAAUCCCCGGGCUUAACCUGGGAAUGGCAUUCAAGACUGGUUAGCUAGAGUCUUGUAGAGGGGGUAGAAUUCCAUGUGUAGCGGUGAAAUGCGUAGAGAUGUGGAGGAAAUACCGGUGGCGAAGGCGGCCCCUGGACAAAGACUGACGCUCAUGUGCGAAAGCGUGGGGAGCAAACAGGGAUUAGAUACC